GAUGAACGCUGGCGGCGUGCCUAAUACAUGCAAGUCGAGCGAACAGACGAGGAGCUUGCUCCUUUGGCGUUAGCGGCGGACGGGUGAGUAACACGUAGGUAACCUACCUAUAAGACUGGGAUAACUUCGGGAAACCGGAGCUAAUACCGGAUAAUAUUUCGAACCGCAUGGUUCGAUAGUGAAAGAUGGCUUUGCUAUCACUUAUAGAUGGACCUGCGCCGUAUUAGCUAGUUGGUAAGGUAACGGCUUACCAAGGCAACGAUACGUAGCCGACCUGAGAGGGUGAUCGGCCACACUGGAACUGAGACACGGUCCAGACUCCUACGGGAGGCAGCAGUAGGGAAUCUUCCGCAAUGGGCGAAAGCCUGACGGAGCAACGCCGCGUGAGUGAUGAAGGUCUUCGGAUCGUAAAACUCUGUUAUUAGGGAAGAACAAACGUGUAAGUAACUGUGCACGUCUUGACGGUACCUAAUCAGAAAGCCACGGCUAACUACGUG
rnacentral:rRNA from 1 species